AAGAGGCGGGAGCGGGCGGGAGAGGUACGGCUGUGCUGCUGCUGCUGCUUCGUUGGCUGUGGUUAAGACGACCUGGAGAGGGAAGCGGGGCCUAGGAAGGACUCUAAUCAUUCUUUUCUUGGUUUGCCCACCGGCUCCGCCUGAAGAUGAAUGAAUUUAAUUGCGAACACACUGUGCUCCGUCAGCGAAGCCAAUGAAAUAAAACCUCCAGGCGAUACCCCGCUGUGUCUGAGGGCUCGGAACCCAUGCUGCUGGCCCGGUACAAGCGCUGCUUGUUCCAGCAUCAGAAGCAAGAUCACAGCACACCUGGCUCCAUACUCAAGGUCAGGCUGGAUGGGGCUCUGAGCAACCUGAAGUAGCUGUAGGUGUCCCUGUUCAUUGCAGGGCAGUUGGACUAGACGGCCUGCAAGGAUCCCCUCCAACUCAGAUGGCUCUAUGAUUCUGUGUUGAACAUCAGUCCUAGCGUGGACCAAGGUGGAAGUGUGUCAUACAGCGUAAGAGAUGAAGCUGACCAAUAAAACGAAGAAAACCCUGCAAAAACGUCUGUCUCGUUGCCACUGUUGAUGUCAGAUGCUGUGAUAUGAGCUUGUGGAGUCAGAGCAGUAAUUCACCUGGCACUCGCUCUUGUGAAGUCAUGAACAUCUUGUUCAGAGAAGAAACAGAUCAGUCUCAGCUUGAGGAGCCCCAGCCUGCAGUGUCUGCUUCUCUUUCAAAUUCUUUGGGCUCCAACAGAAGAACAAAGGUGAAGAAGCAGCCCAGGCUAUUACACCUUUAAGCCUGUAUUAUGUUUCCAAUGUUAGAGCUCGGACUAUGGUUUGGAUCCUAAAGCUAAACUGAAGGCUGAAAAUUGCAAAAAGCAGAAGAAAGCUAGAUGUAAUGGCAGAUGGUUAGCUCAUCCCAUGAAAGAUGUCUGCACCAUAAAGCUGGGUUCUGAAAGAGCACAGCGUUCCUCUGGCUAUAUGUGCAGUGCGGUGCUGAAGUCAAACGAUGCUCAGAAAAUCCAGGAAAAGUGCUGUGAUGUGGAUUGAAGUUGUCACAUGACUCAGUGGGUCCUAAUGGCAAAUCUGUUAAACUUACCCAAGCAGAUGCAAGUAACUUAACAGGGCUUCCUCCACAGAGGUGUUUUCUGUCAUCAAGUGCCUGGAAACGGCGCAAGAAUUCCUCCAGGGGAAACUUUAUCUCUUUUGGUGCAAGAUGUAUUCAUCACCACUUGAAAAUGAGCAGGUCCUGAGACUUCUAGACCUUUUAGCCAGCUUCACCUCUGUAACUGCAUCCUAGUAUAUAUGCUGUGUGGGCAAUAUUGGUCAUCAAACUCCACUGGAGCAUGGAGCUGGUGCAGACUGCAUGGAGAGUCAGGUGAGAAACCCGUGAAAUCUGUUCUUAUUACUCCAUUUACUCCAUUGAUUCAAAUGGCAGCACCUGCGGAAGCUUGCUAGUGAGGGGCCUUGCAGAUGUCCACUCUGAUCAUGAAGUUGAUAUUUCUACCUGCUCGAGCACUGAUGUUUUUCUGCAGAGUUUUCAGCAAGGACAAUUGCUGGAGGGCCCUGACAGCAGCAUCCUCAGGCAAGCAGCUCUUCUGUGCACCUGAAACAUCCUACACGAGGGACAUUUGGGGUUGCCCCUUCCCCCGCAGAUCAAAUCAUGCUGGUGAAUUUCCAGCCACACAAGGACAAGAAAGAUUAUUUUGUGUUGUGGAAGAAAAACAGAAGUAAAAGGCUAAGUUGACUUAGACUCAAAGAACUGAAAAGAAAGCAGAUCCUGUACACCGGAGACUUAGAUUGUCCUAAAAAGUGGAUAAAUGGGGUCCAGUAAGUGAGUCCUUUUUUUUUUUUUUUUUUUUUUUUUUUAAUGUUUCCUGAAGAUACCUUCAGGGGAAGGUGUAAUUUCCCUCUUAUCAUGGAGUCAAGUCUCGUUGAAGUAGGUGAGAAAAUUUGCUGAAUCACACCCAGAGGGUAUCAAUGCCACAGUUUGACUGAAAAACUGGCCUUAGAAGAUGAGAAGACUAGUGCCUUUCUGUGAAGAAUGGCUCUGUUCUGAUUCAUGGGUAAUGACCAAGCCAUGAGCAGCUGAGACACAGCAGACCCGUAUGGCAGAUUCUCUGAACUUUACCUGAGGGCUGAAGUCAGAAGAAAUGCCCUAAGGCAUUCAUUGGCAAAAAAGUUGAAGAACAGCCUUCUGUGAUGAAUAAAUGUGAAUGUUCGAGAAUUUUACUAUUUUUUUUCUUGCUUCAUUAUUAUUUUGAUGCUUCUUUUUUUCUUGUGAUCGC
ensembl:lncRNA